rnacentral:rRNA from 1 species
UUACGGUCAAAUCACGCUUGAAAACACCGGUUCUCGUUCGAUCACCGAAGUUAAGCAUCGUAGAGCCAGGUCAGUACUUAGAUGGGGACCGCUUGGGAACACCUGGUACUGUAAG